AGAGUUUGAUCCUGGCUCAGGAUGAACGCUGGCGGCGUGCCUAAUACAUGCAAGUCGAGCGAACGGACGAGAAGCUUGCUUCUCUGAUGUUAGCGGCGGACGGGUGAGUAACACGUGGAUAACCUACCUAUAAGACUGGGAUAACUUCGGGAAACCGGAGCUAAUACCGGAUAAUAUUUUGAACCGCAUGGUUCAAAAGUGAAAGACGGUCUUGCUGUCACUUAUAGAUGGAUCCGCGCUGCAUUAGCUAGUUGGUAAGGUAACGGCUUACCAAGGCAACGAUGCAUAGCCGACCUGAGAGGGUGAUCGGCCACACUGGAACUGAGACACGGUCCAGACUCCUACGGGAGGCAGCAGUAGGGAAUCUUCCGCAAUGGGCGAAAGCCUGACGGAGCAACGCCGCGUGAGUGAUGAAGGUCUUCGGAUCGUAAAACUCUGUUAUUAGGGAAGAACAUAUGUGUAAGUAACUGUGCACAUCUUGACGGUACCUAAUCAGAAAGCCACGGCUAACUACGUGCCAGCAGCCGCGGUAAUACGUAGGUGGCAAGCGUUAUCCGGAAUUAUUGGGCGUAAAGCGCGCGUAGGCGGUUUUUUAAGUCUGAUGUGAAAGCCCACGGCUCAACCGUGGAGGGUCAUUGGAAACUGGAAAACUUGAGUGCAGAAGAGGAAAGUGGAAUUCCAUGUGUAGCGGUGAAAUGCGCAGAGAUAUGGAGGAACACCAGUGGCGAAGGCGACUUUCUGGUCUGUAACUGACGCUGAUGUGCGAAAGCGUGGGGAUCAAACAGGAUUAGAUACCCUGGUAGUCCACGCCGUAAACGAUGAGUGCUAAGUGUUAGGGGGUUUCCGCCCCUUAGUGCUGCAGCUAACGCAUUAAGCACUCCGCCUGGGGAGUACGACCGCAAGGUUGAAACUCAAAGGAAUUGACGGGGACCCGCACAAGCGGUGGAGCAUGUGGUUUAAUUCGAAGCAACGCGAAGAACCUUACCAAAUCUUGACAUCCUUUGACAACUCUAGAGAUAGAGCCUUCCCCUUCGGGGGACAAAGUGACAGGUGGUGCAUGGUUGUCGUCAGCUCGUGUCGUGAGAUGUUGGGUUAAGUCCCCGCAACGAGCGCAACCCUUAAGCUUAGUUGCCAUCAUUAAGUUGGGCACUCUAAGUUGACUGCCGGUGACAAACCGGAGGAAGGUGGGGAUGA
rnacentral:rRNA from 1 species